GUUUCAUAACUUAAUCGAGGUCACCUGAAGGACGGCGUUCCUGAGUUUCCUCAGCAACGGCAAGACCCGCACUCCUCUCAUAUCGGGAAGUUUAACGAGUUUCGCGGCUCAAGCAAGAGGCACCUGUCACUGAAGGACUGCUUGACGUGAACAGCAUUACUCGAAUUUCCUGGUUCAGCUGAUCUACCCGUCUUCGUACACGCAGAGUUGGCAGAGGAGGUCAUAAAAAUCUACAUCCUUCGGGACAAUGAUGGGGCAGUCAGCGAUGUAGGAGUUGUGAUUGAGGGCAUCACUGUCCUCCGCAGUCUUGGGAAUCUCAGCAGAGUCUGCUGCUAUCUUUUGGGAGUCACGUAUGCAUUGGAUUUGAGAUAUCCCAAGACCCACAAAUACAGGUCCUUCUCAAAAAAUUAGCUUAUUGUGAUAAAGUUCAUUAUUUUCCAUAAUGUAAUGAUAAAAAUUAAACUUUCAUAUAUUUUAGAUUCAUUGCAAACCAACUGAAAUAUUUCAGGUCUUUUAUUGUUUUAAUACUGAUGAUUUUGGCAUACAGCUCAUGAAAACCCCAAAUUCUCAAAACAUUAGCAAAUUUCAUCCGACCAAUAAAAGAAAAGUGUUUUUAAUACAAAAAAAAAAGUCAACCUUUAAAUAAUUAUGUUCAGUUAUGCACUCAAUACUUCGGGAAUCCUUUUGCAGAAAUGACUGCUUCAAUGCGGCGUGGCAUGGAGGCAAUCAGCCUGUGGCACUGCUGAGGUGUUAUGGAGGCCCAGGAUGCUUCGAUAGCGGCCUUAAGCUCAUCCAGAGUGUUGGGUCUUGC